rnacentral:sRNA from 1 species
AGUCUUGUCUGCUUACGAGGGCUCCUCCCUUCAUCUUUGGUCCCUCGGGGCGUCUGGGCAGCCUACGCUUUCCGGUGAGUUUUCCAGUUGGUUCUUUGGAAGCCGUUUUGCGGUGACCGGUUUUCUGCUCUCUCUUGCUGCUCUGAGUCAGGGCCCACCUCCUUGACCGACACCUCACCUCUAUAGUCCACAUAAAAGACUCCUGACAGGUUCUGGAGGCAGCCGACGCCAGCUUCUGUUCCCCUCCCCAGCCCUUGGCAGCUCAGGUUCCGUGGAAGGACGUUCACCUGCUUCGCGGUCUUGUGGAGGUCCACCGGGGCGGAGAAUCCUAAACCUCACCUGUGACUCGGCAGGAUGAGCGGCCAGCACUCCCGACGAAGGCCCUCUGGGGGAAAAGAGGCGCUUGGCCUCGAGCCCAGGAAAGGGGCUAUUCAGGAGUUGGUUCGCGCAGUUACAGCGAAAGCGCCGUGAGCCUCAAAGCCGCAGGCCGGAGGAUAAAAAUGGCAGAAUGAAAGAAUUAUGAGUGGGACUAGAGAAUAGGAAAGACACGAACCAACGCCCAA